rnacentral:rRNA from 1 species
GUCCACCUACGGGACGCAGCAGUAGGGAAUCUUCCACAAUGGGCGAAAGCCUGAUGGAGCGACGCCGCGUGGGUGAAGAAGGUCUUCGGAUCGUAAAACCCUGUUGUUAGAGAAGAAAGUGCGUGAGAGUAACUGUUCACGUUUCGACGGUAUCUAACCAGAAAGCCACGGAUAACUACGUGCCAGCAGCCGCGGUAAUACGUAGGUGGCAAGCGUUAUCCGGAUUUAUUGGGCGUAAAGGGAACGCAGGCGGUCUUUUAAGUCUGAUGUGAAAGC